AUAUAAUUGUCUUGUCUGUGGCAGAAGUAGUAUGUUAAUACCGGUGGUGCUUGAUCCGAGUUCAUAUUCGUGCUUGGGGUCAUAAAUUCUUUUCAGAAAAAGUGGCGUGUUCAAAGAUAAAGUAAAUUUGCCUUUUUAAAAUUGAAGGGUGGCAUUGGUGGGAUUAUCCGUUGGUUUUUUGUUAGAACUAAUGUUUUGAAGCCCUUUGUGUUUUUGGAGAUUGCAGUUAUUCCAAAGCCCUUUGUGUCUUGUUUUGUAUAUCUAUGGUUGGGAUUUAUUUGGGAAUUGUUACUGAAGUUCAUAAGAGUGUGACAGCUUUCCUUUACAUAGGCAAUUAAGAAUGACAUUUUCAGUUUGGUUUUUGUAUGCAUAUAUAUAAUUUCUUUAAAGGGAUGGAUUAUUUGAUCUCUACACUGAAAAAAUGGAACUGAACUAAGAAUUUUGGUUCAAUUCUGUCUCAUUAGUCAGUUCAGUUAGUCAUAAUAGGUUAUUCAGUUUUGCCGGUUCGGUUGCAUCACAAUUUAUAUGUUUUUCCUGAUACCAAGACUACAUAUAAAAUAUUGUUACAUUUUGCGCCAAAUGUUUUGGCUCUAGAACAAGGAAUUGGAAGUACUUAGUCCACUUUGAUAAGCUGCUUGUGUUUCAUACAUGUACCUUUGAUAAAUUAAUUCAUAAAAGGAAAAGAGUAUUUUGAUGAUAUCAUUUUUUUUUAUUUUUAUGUUUUACCUUCAUGUUUAACUUUGAAGAACACAAAUUAGUUUGCUUGUAGUUGCAAGUACACUGAUGACAGGUUGCAAGGGUGCUUUUUCUGGUUUUUAUCAUGAUAAAUAAAUUUAUGUAGGAAAUAAAGUUAUAAUUUUUUCCCCUUCAUUUUUUUAUUUUUAGCAGAG
rnacentral:misc_RNA from 1 species